UGUAUAUAUAUAUAUAUAUAUAUAUAUAUAUAUAUAUAUAUAUAUAUAUUAAUGGUAAAAUGUGCUAAUGUAAAGAAUUAGAAGAUUAGUGAUGUUUAAUUUAAUAGAAUGCAUUCUUUCUCAUGGAAAUGGGAAUAUAAUAAGUGUCCUGUAGGUGAUUGGGUUGUAGCAAUUUUAUUGAAGAUUAAAGUUUGAUUGACCUUUGUUAGGGUGAUUAACCUUUCAGAAAUUAAAAGCCAGAUUGGAAUUAGUCUGUCCAAUUUAAAUGCAAA
ensembl:misc_RNA